GCUAUUAGAAAAUUUUGAAACUUCUAUAGUAACCAAAUAUUAAAAGUAAAAAUCUAAGGUUUAAAAGUACAAAAUUGAAAACUAUGCUUUUUUUUUUAAAAAAAAAGCAAUAUAAUAGUUCUUUCAUCAAUGACACUUGUUCAUACACUACACCAUUCAUAAAAUACCAUUACAAAUGCAUUUGACCCAACCCGACCAAUUGGGUUCUACUACGAACUCUAUUUUCAAGUACAUCAAUUACAACACCGAUAGUUUAUAACACAAGUGACAAAAAAUUUGAUGGUGGACUCCUGAUGUUUCAAGUUUGAAACCUUUUUUUUUAUUUUUUGAGCUAAAUUUAUUUUUUAGAAAACAAACUAAGCGAAUAACAUAUUAUUUUUUCUAAAAAAAUGAAAAUAAAAACAAGAGAAAACUUCAAAAACCCUCCCUGUGGUUUCGUAGUUUCUCACUUUUCCCUCCUGUGAUUUCGUUUUUAUCUUUUCGGUAGCUUCUUCGUUAAUAUUUUAUUAAAUUAUAUACAAAAAACUUCAGAUACUCAUCUAGAUUUAUCAAAUAUUCAUUUUAGUACCCUUUAAUUUUAACUUUAUCACUGAUUUAAAAAAAAAAAAAUAAAAUUGAUAAAAAAAAAAGAAAAAAAAAAUUACAGGGGAAUAAAUUGAUACGUUUUAAGUCACGGGGUAGGAAAAAGUGAGAAGCUACGAAACUACGGGGGGAGGUUUGAAGUUUUU
rnacentral:lncRNA from 1 species